rnacentral:misc_RNA from 1 species
GCAUGCCGUAACUACUCACUCUCCCUUGCUAAGCCUCAUCUAGCAUAAAAAACCCAACUAAGUGAUCAGCACAUAAAAUAUUGCUUAAGAGAAUAAGGGAAGGAGAGUUUUGAGGCUCACACUUGCCAAGACAGCGGAAAAAAUGGUGAGCUUUACUCUAACCUAAUUUGUCCCUAUCCUUUAUACCUUUGGCCUAAAGGAGACUUUCGGAAGCUAAAAUUAAUACUUUCGACAACCAAAAAGUCCAUUUGUUCCCUCUUUUUCUUUUAAGCCCCACAACUCUAAACCUU